rnacentral:rRNA from 1 species
AGAGUUUGAUCCUGGCUCAGAAUCAACGCUGGCGGCGUGCCUCAGACAUGCAAGUCGAACGAUUGAAGCUCCCUUCGGGGAGUGCAUAGAGUGGCGCACGGGUGAGUAACACGUAAGUAAUCUACCUUCGAGUGGGGAAUAACGUCCGGAAACGGACGCUAAUACCGCAUAAUGCAGCGGCAUCGCAAGAUGACAGCUGUUAAAGAUUUAUCGCUUGAAGAGGAGCUUGCGGCAGAUUAGCUUGUUGGUAAGGUAAUGGCUUACCAAGGCUACGAUCUGUAACCGGUCUAAGAGGACGGUCGGUCACACUGACACUGAAUAACGGGUCAGACUCCUACGGGAGGCAGC